ACAAUUUAUGUUUUAUCAAUUAAGUAGUGGCCUAAUAAUAAUUGACUUACUACCUAAUAAAUCUAGGCAAUUUUAGCUGUAGUGUUCAAGUUGGAGCAUAUAGAUCAUAUGUUCUAAGUUUGUCACAUAUAUACUUCCUCCUUGUUUUCAAUUACACUAAGUUUUGGUUUAAAUUUGACAAAACGGAUGGACGAAACGUAAUUAGAACGUCGAAAUAUCCCAGACUACUCUUGAUGCGAAUUGCUGGUUGGAUAGGUUCAUUGAUGUGGAUUGCUAGCUGGAUAGGUUCAUUGAUGUGGAUUGCUUGCUGGAUAGGUUUAUGGAUUUCUGACGCGCGAACUAAACGAACGGAAGAAGUUGCCCUGAAUAGUACCUGAUGUGGGGGACAGGAUGACAGGUGCACCUCGGAGUUGAGAUUUUUUUCUGCAUGUGUAGACGCACUCAAAAUAUUGCCGUGUUCAUCUUGAUGAGACAAAACUGUUGGUCUAUGACUCUAUACAACUGAUGCAUUAACAUCUAGGCAAUCAGCAUGUGACAAUUUGGACCACAUUGAAGAGAAAUUCAGCUGAGAUUGAAAGCUUAGAAAGUUGAAGAAGUAUAUCGGAAUGAGAGAAUACCAAGACCAAAAAUAGAAGAUUGAUAAGCUUCAAACUUAAUCAGCAGGAGCAAAACAGCAAAGAGUUUGGAGAUAGCCAGAAACAAUUAAACGAAUAAUAAUAGAUUCAGAAUUGGGUGGCGCGGGCAAGACUGAAGACUCUAUCAGGUCAGAAUAAGUAAGAGAAAAUAGAAAGUUCAAGAAUAUGUGGCAUCAAAGUCUCCAUUCUUAGUGUAUUUGUAGAUAUACUGCUGCCUAUUUAUAUGGUUCUUAAUGACACUGAUUUUGUAAUAAAAGUUGCCUUAUUUAUCUUUAUACAAAUUAAGUAGUUCUCUAAUCUAAUUAAUCAGUUACUUUAAUUACCUUGCUCUGAUAAAGUCGCAUCAUUAUGGAACAAGGAAAUUUCUUCAGGACUCAUUUAUGAAGGGCCUGGGAAUAUGUAUAGGAAAUUUCACUCUCUCAAGAUUGACGUUAUGUGACCCAUAUGUUGGUAUUCGUGAGGUUCUCAAUGGGCAAAGUUUGUGUGCUCCAAAUUAUUCACUUGCCUUGGCAAUUUUAUUUAAGGUUUGGUAACAUGAAAAUCUUUGAUAGUGGAGGGAGAGAGAAGAAAAAUAUUGGUUGAGGUAGACGUGUCCUAAAGAAGCUUGAGCCCUGUAAUGGUGUCAUUGUUACUGCUGCCUACCAAUGUGCGGAAAGCUGGUGUCAGCAUGGAGAUUUUUAUUAAGAGUUGGUGUUGUGGAGCAGAUGAACUAUAGAUGAGUGGAAACUUUCCUUUAAAUUCGGUUUCCAACAUUCUUAUUUAUCUAUUCUUAAUAAAAGUGCAGUUUUGUGUUACUUCUUUCCUUUUCUCCAAUAUAACAUGUUCGAUUUCCUUUAGUCUGUCAAAGUCCUUUCCUUUUCCUCGUUGUGUCCAUGGGAUGUGCUAUAUUUCUGGCUUAAGUUGGCAGUACUUUGGGCAUGGUGCUUGUUUUCAAGAACUUAAUGGUCAAUUUCAUAAGAAGUGUUGGAAAGAAAAAUCUUUUUGGUGUGAAGUAUAGCAGCCAAAAUGUAACACAUCCAAAUAUGGGCAGUGCGUUACGCUAGCAUAAUGCUUUCUGUUUACUGUGUGGUAGACUAUAGAGUUCCUUCUGCUUGCUGUCUGUUUCUUAUUAAUAUUGACAUGAGAACAGCAUCCUUAAUUUCUGUAAAAUUAUAGCUCUCUCUCUGACGAACACUUGCACACACACAGACAGCUCUCUAGCAUCGAGCUGUUGGAAAAAAUCAACCUUUUGCAGUUUCAGGGUUGGAAAAUGUGUGAUGCAACAACAUUUUUCCCCUUCAAUUACAAGUUCAUGAUGAAAGUUUUGGGGCUUGCAGUUAGCUCCCUCUUGUAAGCUGAAAGUGGAUUGGCAAAUUACUGACUGAAUACUGCUUGUUUGCUACUUUGCUUUUUUAUUUUAUUUUAUUUUUUCUUUUAAGUUUUCGUUUAGAUUUAGAAAGUAUAAGGUGACCCUUUUUUCAUCUUUCUUUCUCUCCCCAAUCCCAUCCACCUGCCUUUCCAAGACCAAUUGCUUCUUGAUAUCUUCAUCGACUGGAAGUGACUCUGUUUGAUCUACUUCAUGUUUUAUUUCAGGCAACACGAGAAUUAAAUCUGAGGCAAUCAGAUGACAAACAAAUGACCACAACAGGAAGUAAAUUAUGACUUGAAGAACAUCCAGAAACCAAAUUUGCUUAGUGCCACUUUUCACAGGCUGAAUGAUAACAUAUGUCCGCUUGCAGUCUUGUAUAGACUAAGAGAGCAUUUGGGAAAAGAUUACACUCAGGUUCCAUACAUUUUUGCAACUCGGAUAAAACAGGGCGUUUAUUUAUUUUUUGAUUCUUGCACCCUCCCCACCCCUCCAUUUAAUCAGCCCAGGGAUACAGAAAUAGCAUAAGUAGCUGUUUGCAAAAGAAAAUUUCAUAAAGAUUGUUGCAGGGUUUCGACAUUGAAUCUCCUCCUAAACUUUUACUGAGUGAUUGUAUUUAUGGUAAUACGAACUUGCAAGGAAAUAGAAAGUCCAUACUGCUUAUUUUUUACUAGCCUCUGUAGUGUUUUUGUGUUGGACGCCAAUAGAACAAACUUGCAGCUGUAAUGGUACCCAUUGACUGCCAUUAUACGUAGAUGUAUAUUUGCGGAUGGCAAUGCAGAAGCU
rnacentral:lncRNA from 1 species